rnacentral:rRNA from 1 species
UUCCAGACUCCUACGGGAGGCAGCAGUGGGGGAUAUUGCACAAUGGGGGGAACCCUGAUGCAGCGACGCCGCGUGGGUGAAGAAGCGCCUCGGCGCGUAAAGCCCUGUCAGCAGGGAAGAAAAUGACGGUACCUGAAGAAGAAGCCCCGGCUAACUCCGUGCCAGCAGCCGCGGUAAUACGGAGGAUGCGAGCGUUAUCCGGAUUUAUUGGGUUUAAAGGGUGCGUAGGCGGGCUUUUAAGUCAGCGGUAAAAAUUCGGGGCUCAACCCCGUCCGGUCGUUGAAACUGGGGGCCUUGAGUGGGCGAGAAGAAGGCGGAAUGCGUGGUGUAGCGGUGAAAUGCAUAGAUAUCACGCAGAACCCCGAUUGCGAAGGCGGCCUUCCGGCGCCCUACUGACGCUGAGGCACGAAAGUGCGGGGAUCGAACAGGAUUAGAUACCCCUGUA